ACAUCAAUCAUGAUGAGAGCAUAGUUCAAAUGAAUACAUUUGAUUACACAAUGCUUGUCUUUCGCUCCUAACUGAAUUAACUG